GACGAACGCUGGCGGCGUGCUUAACACAUGCAAGUCGAGCGGAGCGGCGAACGGGUGAGUAACGCGUGAGUAACUGCCCCCCUCUCUGGGAUAACAGUUGGAAACGGCUGCUAAUACCGGAUAGUGGGGGAUGACGCGGGUCCUAUCAGCUGUUUGGUGGGGUAGUGGCCUACCAAGGCGACGACGGGUAGCCGGCCGGGGAGGGCGACCGGCCACAUUGGGCUGAGAUACGGCCCAAACUCCUACGGGGGGCAGCGGUGGGGAAUAUUGCACAUUGGGGGAAACCCUGAUGCAGCAGCGCCGCGUGCGGGAUGACGGCCUGCGAGUUGUAAACCGCUUUCAGCCAUGACGCGGUAGUGGCAGAAUAAGCACCGGCUAACUACGUGCCAGCCGCCGCGGUAAUUC
rnacentral:rRNA from 1 species